GGACCGCUGGUGUACCUGUUGGAGACCAACUCCAUAGCAGGGUAGCCAAGUCCGGCAGGGAUAAACGCUGAAGGCAUCUAAGCGUGAAGCCCCCCUCAAGAUGGGAUAUCCCAUUCGUCAAGAAGUAAGAUCCCUUGAAGACGACAAGGUAGAUAGGGCUCGAGUGUAAGUGUGGUAACACACUCAGCGGAGAGUCACUAAUCGAUCGAGGGCUUGUCCUG
rnacentral:rRNA from 1 species